UUUCCGUAGGUGAACCUGCGGAAGGAUCAUUCAUAAUAAAGUGUUUUAUGGCACUUUUUAAAAAUCCAUAUCCACCUUGUGUGCAAUGUUAGAUCUCGUCAAUCUUGGCGAGAUUUUUAUACAUCAGCUCAUUCUUUAACUAAUUUGUCUGAAAAAUAUUAUGAAUACUUAAUUCAAAAUACAACUUUCAACAACGGAUCUCUUGGCUCUC
rnacentral:misc_RNA from 1 species